GCGGUCCCACCCACUGCGCCCAGAACGGAGCCCGCGUUUCCGCAGAGCUGGAGCUCCCGGCUCGGGGUCUCUUCCCUCCGCCUUCACGGAACUGCCCCGGAGCCCGCGGCGAGGGCGGCCUCACUGACGCUGCCGGCUCUGGAGGGGCCCCGGAGGCCGAAGCCGCGACAGUCGUGCGGACGGCGGGCCGGUUGUUUCAACAAGUAACUUAAAGACCAAAUGGAAAAAAAGGAGGUUUGUGCCUGAGAUCAUGUUGAUGUGAAACCAGGGAUGGCCACCUUGUCCCAGGUACAAAACAAAGAAUCGCUUUGCACAAAGCCAGAAGGGCUACACUGGAAGAAUGAUCAGAAAAGAAUAAUACAUAGGUACAAAACAAAGAAUCGCUUUGCACAAAGCCAGAAGGGCUACACUGGAAGAAUGAUCAGAAAAGAAUAAUACAUAGCAGGCCCACCGCUACGCCUCUCACCUGAGAAGUCCAGAAUCGGGAAGACACAGGCUGUAUCAGUUGCACUGCAGACUUAUUCACAAUAGCCAAGAUGGUGAAGCAACCCAAAUGUCCAUCAACAGGUGAAUGGAUAAAGAAGAAGAGGUCCAUGUACACAAUGGAAUAUUCACCAUGGAGAACAAUGAAUUACUGCUCUUUGAGGCACCACAGAUGAGCCUAGAGAUAAUCAUGGAACAUGAGAAACAAAAACGGCUUGGAAAAAUGAUGAAUGUUAGGUAUUUGUAAAGACACGCAAACCCAAAUUACAAAAACCUAUCAGCUCACAGCAGUCAGAAUGGCCAUUAACAAAAUGCUGCAAGCAAUAAAUGCUGAAGCAAUUGUGGAGAAGUGCGUACCCUCCGUUCUAAGGGGGACGUGGUAAGGGCCACUAAUGAAAACACAAUGGAGGUGCUUUGAAAAGGGAAACAUUGCGCUACCAGGCAAUCAGUCAUACCCACUGCUGGACCUGUCACCUGAGAAAAUGAGAAUCAAAACCUCACAGACUGGCAGUUCUGCACUCCAGCAAUACUUACCAUAGCCAACACUUGGAAGCAACGAAAAUGUCCAUCAACAGAGGAGUGUACCAAGAAGCAGUGGUCCAUGUACACAAUGGAAUAUUACUCCAAUAAAAAGUAUAAAUUAAAUUUAAAAACAAACAUAAGUAAGGAGACGUAAGCAUUUGGGGGUUUAUCUGGGCACAUUCCUCUCUAAUUUAUAACCGAGGAACACCAGUGGCAGGAAGGUCUGUUUCCCUAGUACCAGCGUGGGGAACUUAGAAAGGCUGCCACCCUCUGGCUGUUCCCUGCAAAAGCAGCUUUAAAGCCUGUGCUAAUGGUCACUUCAUGUGAACAAGUACUGCAGGGCUGUAAAUGAAACCUGCCCUCAAAAUGUCUUGAGGGAGGUAAUGGCCAAAAAAUUUCAAAAUGUGACACAUACUUUAAGAAAACACUUUGAGGGCCUCCCUGGUGGCGUAGUGGUUGAGAGUCCGCCUGCCGAUGCAGGGGAUACGGGUUCGUGCCCCGGUCUGGGAGGAUCCCAUAUGCCGCGGAGCGGCUGGGCCAAUGAGCCACGGCCUCUGGGCCUGCGCAUCCGGAGCCUGUGCUCCGCAACGGGAGAGGCCACAACAGUGAGAGGCCCGCAUACCGCAAAAAGAAAAAAAAAUAAAAUAAAUAAAAAGAAAACACUUUGAAGAGCUAAGCUGUAAUCACAGUUUGAAAAAUAAGAAGGACAUGCCUUAAAGCUUAAUGUCAAGGGAUUAUGAGACACACGGAAAUUCAACCACAAAGAGGUAUCAGUUCACACCCCUCAGAAUAACCUUCAGCACGAAACCCAUAAUCAAUAACUGCUGGGGCUUCCCUGGUGGCGCAGUGGUUGAGAGUCCACCUGCGAUGCAGGGGACGCGGGUUCGUACUCCGUUCUGGGAAGAUCCCACAUGCCGCGGGUGCCUGUGCUCCGCAACGGGAUAGGCCACAACAGUGAGAGGCCCGUGUACCGCAAAACAAACAAACGAAAAUAAAUGAAUGAAUGAAUGAAUGCAUGUAUGCUGAAGGUGUUGUGGAGAAAUGCAUACCCUCAACUUUCAGUGGGAUGUACCCUGGAAAGAGCCACUAAUGAGAACAGAAUGGAGAUGCCUUUAAAAGGUAAACAUUGAGCUACAAUAUAAACCAGCAGGCCCAUUCCUGGACCUACAACCAAAGAAGACAGAAUUGGAAAGGCACAGGAAGGCAAAUGUGCACUGCACAUAUUACAAUAGCCAAGAUAUGGAAGCAACCAAAAAGUCCAGCAACAGAUGGGUGGACAAAGAAGAACUGCUACAUGUAGAGAUGGAAUAUUAGCUGGGGAAAAAAUGAAACAAUGCCAUUUGCAGCACCAUCGAUGAGUCUAGAAGUAAUCACCCGAGUUGUGGUAAGUGAGAAAGCAAAAGACACAUAUCCUAUCAUAUCACUUAUAGGUGUGAGCUAAAAGUUGAUAACAAUGAAGAUAUUUCCACAGAGAAAGGCAAUUACAGAUUCAUUAAACCAACUUAGGGUCCACCAUAAGGAAAGGUGUGAGGAUUGGAUACAUUACAUUAUUGGGGUUAACAGAGAUAUACAAACGCAUGUGAAAUAUAUAAUCACCAAAGACCUACGGCAUACCAAGAGAAGACUACUCAACAUUGUGUCAUAACCUACAUGGGAAAAGGAUCUGAAGAAGACUAGAUAUAUGUAUAUGUGUAAAACAUCCCCAUCUUGCACACCUAGAACAAAGAAAACAUUGUAAUCAAAUUGGCUGUGAUCAAAAAUAAUAAUUAAGUUAAAAAACGAACAGGAUGGAAUGAGACGUAAUCUUAAAGGGAUUUUCCUGGCACUUUCCAUUCUAAUUUACAACCUACAGCACAACUUCCAUUAUGGCUGUCUUGCCCUAGUAACCAGAUUUGGUAAGGAGAAAUGCUUCUGUCUUCUGGCCGUUCCACACAACAGGAGCUUUGAACCCAGCGCUAGUGGUCACUUAAUUUUCAAAAUAAUUGCAGGCCUGUAAUAGACACCUACCAUCAAAGAAAAAAAUCCUGGGGUCGUAAAUCGACCAGAAAAUUCAAAAGACGUCAACAUUUCAAAAACAGAAUCAAGAGGCAUAUUUUAAGCACAUUUUGUGUUUUCUUGCUUUUUUUUUCUUUAAAAAAGGAAUGGGAAUGCUCAACGUCAGCAAUUAAUAAAGAUUGCAAAUCCAAUCUACAGAAACCUUUACCACACAGCCAUCAGAAUGAUCACCAGGAGGAUAGUGUACAAAGGUAUAAAUGCUGAAAAGGUUUUAGAGAACUGUGUACCCUCUAGCCGCUGCGGGUGGAUAAACUGGUAAGAGACAGUAGGGAGAAGAGAGUGGCGGUGCCUUUAAAGGUAAAAAUUGAGCUGCCAUGUGAUCUGGUAGGUCCUUUCAUGCGCCUACCACCUGAGCAGACCAGAAUGAAAAAGGUACCGGCUGGCAAUCCUGCACUGCAGGAACAUUAACCAUAGCCAAGACUUGGAAGAACCCAAAAUGUCCAUCAACAGAAAAAUGUACAAGGAAGAAGUGGUCCAUGUACACAAUGGAAUAUUAGCCAUGGAAUAGAAUAAAAGUGUGCCGUGUGCACCACCAUAGAAGGACCUAAUAAAGAUCAUCACCAAACUUGAAGUAUGAAAAAAAUGGAAAGACAGACAUCCUAUGACAUCACUUAUAGGUGUUAACUAAAAAUUGAUACCCACGAACUUAUUUCCAAGAGAAGGAAAAGCAUGGAUUAAGAAAAUAAAAGUACGUUUAACCUGAUGGAAAGUUGUAAGGAAUGGAUGAAUUAGGAUAUGGGGGUUAAGAGACAUGUACUAAUACAUAUGAAAUGUUUAAUCACAAAAUACCUAUGGAAUACCAAGAAAGGUCUACUCAACACUCUGUAAUAACCUACACAGGAAGGGCUCCAAAGAUGAGUAGACAGAUACAUUGAUAUAAUGAACCAGAUUCUGUACACCUAGGAGAAACAAAAUAUUUUUUUAUCGAAUUUGCUCUGAUAAUUAAUAAAAACUAAAUUUAAAAACAAUCAAGAAGAAAGGAGAUAUAAGCUCUUGGGGGUUUUCCCUGGCACAUUCUACUCUAAUUUGCAGCCUACUAACACGAUUUCCUGGAAGGCUGUACCGCCCAAAAACGGAGUGGGAAAUGUACAAAUGCUGCCGGUUUGUGGACGUUUCCCACAAGCGCGGCUUUAAGCCCACAGCUAAUGGUCACUUAACAUUCACAAGGACUCAGCGCUGUAAAGGACACCUGCCCUAAAAAAAUUGUGCUGCGGAAGGGAAUGGACAAAAAAUUUCAGAACAGGCAAAUGUUUCAAGAAUAUAUUAUGAAGACGUAAGUUUGACUCUCUUUAAAAAAAAAAAAGGAAAAUGAAUAAACGCUCAACCUCAGGAAUUAUUAGAUUCAUGCAACUCUAAUCUACAAAAAGUUUACAACUCACACCUGUCCACUGACGAUCAGCAAAAAGUCUACACACAGUAAACACUGAAGGAGUUUUAGAGAACUGUGUACCUUCUAGCUGCUGGUGAGAUGUAAAGUGGUAACAGCCAAUAAUGAGAACAGAAAGGAGCUGCGUUAGCAAAGUAAAAAUUGAGGUACCAUUCGACGCAGCAGGCCCACCGCUAGGCCUCUCACCUGAGAAGUUCAGAAUCGGGAAGACACAGGCUGCAACAGCUGCACUGUGUGGCCUUAUUCACAAUAGCCAAGAUGGUGAAGCAACCAAAAUGUCCAUCAACAGGUGAAUGGAUAAUGAAGUAGAGGUCCAUGUACACAAUGGAUCGUUCCCCAUUUAAAACAAUGAAACACUGCUCUUUGAGGCACCACAAAUGAGCUAAGAGAUAAUCAUGGAACAUGAGGUUCCUUCGCCAGCGCAUGGAGGAAGUCUCUCGGGUGGCCACAAACCAAAUGUUCCUCGGUCCUUACACCUUGCUUCCUACAGAAACCCCCACUGGUCUCCCCUAAGCCUCGGACCUCUGGUCGCCCGACUCCCCUUUCGAUGCCCCCAUUCAGCAUGAAGUAGCCAGAGAUCGGAACGCCACCCCAUUACACCAAAGAUGUCGGGAUGUAAGGCCAACUGGCCCGAGGCAGGGGAACGCAAUCAGAUUCACAGGUUGCAUCAGACCGAAACUCUCCGGACCACCCAAUUCCAGAAACUGACCUGGAGACAUUCCGGACCACCCAGUUCCAGGAACUGACCUGGGGGCUUUCCACCCGGCCCAACCUUCCCGCCUUUCGAGGGAUGAGACUAGCGGUCCCAAGACUGAUGGAACAGGCACCAGAUAGUGCCACGACACCCGAAGAGACCACCAGAUAAGGAAUUCCCUGCGCCCUCCCAGAUGCACCACACCCCUUUCCCUUCUUCCCCUAUAAAAUCUUGCCCAGCCCUCGCCCGGGGGCGACUUCUCUGGCCCCCUUCUCUCGGACGAGUGAACCUCGCCCGGGAACGCCCCCUAAUAAAGCUCACUUGAAGCUUUC